AUACGUAGGGCGCGAGCGUUGUCCAGAAUUACUGGGUGUAAAGGGAGCGUAGGCGGGAGGGCGAGUCAGAUGUGAAAUACCUGGGCUCAACUCAUGGGCUGCAUUUGAAACUGCAUUUCUUGAGUGUAGUAGCUGUAAGCGGAAUUCCUGGUGUAGCGGUUAAAUGCGUAGAUAUCAGGAGGAAUACCGGUGGCGAAAGCGGCUUACUGGGCUGUUACUGGCGCUGAGUCUCGAAUGAGUGGGGAGCAAACAGGAUUAGAUACCCUGGUUGUCCACGCUGUAAACGAUGAUUACUAGGUGUGGGGGAACUGACCCCUUCCGUGCCGCAGAUAACACAAUUAGUAAGCCUCCUGGGGAGUACGGCCGCAAGGUUGAAACUUAAAGGAAUUGACGGGG
rnacentral:rRNA from 1 species